GGGAUGGAGCAGUCUGGUAGCUCGUCGGGCUCAUAACCCGAAGGUCGUAGGUUCAAAUCCUGCUCNCUUUA
rnacentral:tRNA from 1 species